GGUGUCUUCAGGCAGGAACAGGUGUUCACCAUCUCUCCACACAGCGUCAGAGUGAACGCCGGAGAGGACGUCUUCCUCGAGUGUGUCAUCCAAAACCAACAGGGUAAAGCACAGUGGACAAAAGAUGGCUUUGCAUUAGGUUUCGAGCGCGACGUCCCAGGUUACCCUCGCCACUCCUACUCGGGGGACCCGAGCAAGGGGCAGCACCAUCUGGUCAUCAAGGGCGCCAACCUUGGACGACGACGGCGAGUACCAGUGCCAAGUGGGUCCCACUACUGACACCAGUGCCUUGGCGGCCUCUGCUAACGUCACUGUUAUGGUGGCUCCAACCAGCCUGAACAUCAUCAGGGGCGCCGACAGCAGCGUCGUGCAGGGCACAGAGGGUCACAACCUGUACCUGCAGUGCCUCGUCAACGGUGCCAGACCCGCCCCCUCCAUAGCUUGGUACCGCAAUGGUAUCAUGUUGG